GACGAACGCUGGCGGCGUGCUUAAUACAUGCAAGUCGAACGGAAAGGCGCUGCUUGCAGGGCACUCGAGUGGCGAACGGGUGAGUAACACGGGGGUGAAUUGCCCUGCACUUCGGGAUAAGCUUGGGAAACUGGGUCUAAUACCGGAUAGGAACCAUCUUUAGUGAGGUGGUUGGAAAGUUUUUUCGGUGUAGGAUGAGCUCGCGGCCUAUCAGCUUGUUGGUGGGGUAAUGUCCUACCAAGGCGGCGACGGGUAGCCGGCCUGAGAGGGUGUACGGCCACAUUGGGACUGAGAUACGGCCCAGACUCAUCCGGGAGGAAGAAGUGGGGAAUGUUGCAAAAUGGGAGCAAGACUGAUGCAGCGACGCCGCGUGGGGGAUGAAGGCCUUCGGGUUGAAAGCUCCUUUCGCUAGGGACGAAGCUUUGUUGUGACGGUACCUAGAUAAGAAGCACCGGCUAACUACGU
rnacentral:rRNA from 1 species